CCCUUGAUCUGCAUCUGAAAAAUCAAUAUAUGGAAGCAAGCUAAAUGUAGUGAUCAGUAAGCACUAUAUAACCUACGCUUUUGCUAUUUAUAAAAACGUUUGGCUGGUGUGCCAUCACCCAUCUGAGCAGUCGGCUGUGAAUGUCCUCACUGGCUAGUACAAUUAUGCUGACUGUGAUUUGGUUUCUGACCCCCACAGGAUGUGCGCUGAUGUCCAGGAUGUCCAGCCUCAGAGCGCCCCACUUCUUCAUCAGGUGGAUCUCUUCUCCCAGGAGGCGACAGCGGCUUACCACCAGACCCACAUCAUGCAGCAGCUGGAGAGCGAGAACCAGACAGAUAUUAUACAGCCAAAACUGAACCUCUGUGGACAUGCAAUGUGAUUCUGGGAUACAUUUAAAACACCAACCCCUUUUCUGGACUUCACGUCAUGUGGAUCGUCCUUUUAACCAAGCCUCACACUUACCUUGGGAAUGUAUUGACUGGUGGGGUACUUCUUGAACCAAGUGGUUUCACUGCCUAUGUACUGGCAUAGAAGAUUGUGUACAAGCCGAGAGUAGCACUGUGACUUUUCAUCUGUAAGAAAGAAAAGGUGAGUUGGCAAAGAAAGAGUCCUGUGUGUGGCGAGAACCAAGAAAAUAUUCUACAUUAAAGUGUCAGAGCUUAAUUUCUCCCACCAUCCAUUUGGCGUUGAAAUGUGAUGUCCAUGAUGUUACGCUCAGUCUGUUCACAGACCUCUCCUCCUAUAUAAGAGAGCAAAGCAUUAGAAAAACAGACAUUUGUCUUAAAGCAACCCUUUGAAAAAAAACUGCAGAGCAAAACUACUAUAAAACAUAGUAACACAUUUAGUGCAAGGAAAGUUAUACUAUCAAGGAAUAUAUAGCACUAUAUCUUACCGUCAGGUUUCUCAAACUGCACCUCCAACAGCAAGGACUCGUAAAGAAAGCUGUAGACUGUCUUCCUGUCAUCUUUCUGCACAAACUUCCAUUCAUUCACUCUGAAACCAAAAGAGGCCAAAAAUGUAAUUCAAAGUUGAAUGGAAUAGUAGGUGUAUAUGCAGGGAGGAAAAAUGUAUCCCUGUCUGGAAAAUGAGAAACUGACCUAUCCAGCAUGGCAAUAUGUUUCUCAAGUUCCAGAGUUUCCUUUCGGAGUCUGUCCACUUUGUCCACAGAGUUUAUCUUCUGUAGUUCCAAUUCACACAUUUGCCUGUGGAGAAAAACAAAUGGUUUCCAUUUCUCGGCACAUCCAGCGGAAGGGAGUAAAGUAAUACAAAUUAAAAUCUCAAUAGAGACCGUAGCUCUGGCGACGACAAAGAAAAAUCAAAUUUAUUUACACUAAAUUAUGAUUCAAGCAAUGUAGACUUACCCUUCACUUUUAGCAAUUGCUUUGUUGACCUUCUCCAACCCUGAUAGAAUGUACUCAACAUUAACAUGUCAAAUACCAUGCACACCAUUGAUUAAUAAUUCAAAAUGUAAUUCAAAAAAGAAACCCAAGAUUGUGGCGUCAUACGUUACCUUGCUGCCUUGCUUUCAAGGUUGGCUCACAGUCCUCUACUCCUGUGCCCUCCACAGCUGCAAGUUCUGUGGCAGACAGAAGAAAGAAUAAGCAUGACAAAACCUCAAAUUCAAAAUCAAUUACCACCUCUAAUACCAAAAAUUAUCUUAACAAGAUGACAAGCAUGCAUUGUGAAAAAUGAUAUUAGGUCCCUUGGUUCAAAUUGAAGUACAGUAGAGAAUAUGAAAGGCUCAAAAGGAGAUGAACACAAAUCCAAUAUACCAGCUUCCAAGUCAUGUAGACAUUCAUCAAGGUCUUUCAGACACUGAUCGGUCUUCUCAAUAUUUCCUCUCAAGUUAUGUUGUGCCUCCUGUGAAGAUGUAAUGGGACAUCAAUAAAACAGUUUAUUAGCAGAGUUUUACACACACACACACACAAAUGUGGAAAGCAUAAGUAUUUUUCAGUCAGGUUACUAGCAACAUAGUGAAGGGAUUUUUGUUCUCAUCAGGGGUCUUACCCGAGUUGUGUGCACAAGGUCAGAGUACAAAACUGCUUUCAUUUCAUGAGAUCGCACUUUGCUUCUCUUUCUGAAGAAUGUCCUCCUCUCUUUCAACUUUGAACCAAAAAGCAGCAACUGGGGAAAAUAAGCCACAACAUCAAGAGGGGUGGUCCAAAUGGAUCAUUUCUGUAUCAAACUGACUAGUAAUAGCAAGAGGGAAAUCAAUAAAUAACCAAAGACAAAGUUAAACACCUCUUCAUCUGAAAAGCCCUUCACCGCCUCCCAAAGUGUUCCAUUAACACUUUGCAGAAGACUGUCUUGGUCUCUCAGACGUACUUUCAACCUGAAAUCAGAAAGUACACCAAAGGGAUGAACAUACAUGGCUUGUUACUUACUAAGCAGGUUACAGAUUUGAGCAUUGUUUUUUACGUCAUCUUACGGUAAAUAAAAUGCAACAAAAAGCAUCACAGUGACAUGCAUAAUUAAACAUACCCCUCCACCAUUUCUGUGAGUAUCUGGCAGUCUGUCUCAUACACCCUCUGUUUGGGACGGUUGAUAUGCUUCUCGAUUAACAAGUCCUCUGUUUUGCGAUCGAGAUCCGACACAAUCUAUAAGGAGAUGAAAAUCUGUAUUUAGCACCUAUAUUUAUUGUGAGGGUCAGCAAGUAUUAUCCUUAAUAAUAAUUCCUCAAAAGUUAUUAGUAAUGACAAUUCUAAAGACAAAGGUUUAAGAUUUACUCUCGCAGGCAGAAUACUCUGUCGAGGUUUAUGGAUGACAAAGUCGAUGCUGAAGAGUUUCAGGAACUCAGCCACUGUAAUGCUGCCAUCUUGGAGUUUCUGAAAUUAAAUGUGAAAGAGCAGUGAAAACACAGUAUAAUCGGAAAUGGUAACAGGAAAAGUCAAUAUAAAAGGGAGUUGUUGACAUACCUUCCGUACAUCAGAUGUGUAGUCCCCGGUGUUGUCAAGCAGGGACUCGAAUUGGCUUUGUCUGUAAGCUGCAAAAUGGCAUCAAGUUAGUAUUGCCUAUCUAACCUAGACAAUGCACUUUAAAAGGGAUCAAGACAGACAAGGCUAUGACGAAUGUUUGAAUGAGACAGUCAAAAUAAGCAGUAGUAAAAGCGCCUCAAAACUCACUUGACUCAAAUGUGCCCUCACAUCGGAGGUUGGAGUUGCUGCUGGAGCCAUCAGCUGCAGCUCCUGUACAGUUACUGUCCCACUGAACUACCUGUGUGUGUGGGAUCUGUCAAGAUAAAAUGUGAAAAAAAAUGUAUUAACUCGUAUUGAAUACAUUUAACAAAAUAAAUGUGAACUGAUUAAAUGAAAAACAGUAUUUACCA